UGGGGAGGGGGAGUCCCGCGGGGGGAGCGGCGCCCCGUCACCUGCGCGCACGUUCGGAGGGUUAAGGCGUUUCGUCGCCGCAGCUCGCGGCUCUCCGCGUGCGGAACGGCUCCGCAAAGAGUUGCCGUUUGUGGCGUUAUUUUCAGCCCCGAAAGCGCUGCGGCUCCGGGGCUGCACCUUCCCGGGGGGUGGAGAGGGGGGUCCCUGCUCUGUGACCCUGCACAGCUCAUGUGGGGGCAUUCCUCGCGCAUCGUAAAGGGAUUCUGGAAUGAUGCGCACACCCGGAGCGCCGUCCGGACGUCCCUAGCACGGGGCCGGGUCCCGGAGCAGGGAUAGCGUUACCAUUGCAUCGUGUGGGUUUCCCUACAGCGCGUGAAAUGCAGAAUGAUCGCCGGGAACUGGGGCUUUGAAUCCAAACGUGUUCCCAAAGUAGUGAGAAGUUGACAUAUGAGAUGGAAUCCCAACACCGCGUAAAUGCGUUACUUUAAUUUAGGGAGGUGUCGUCGAACCGCUCUGAUGUUGGCCAACCUAUGUCCUGAAGUCAUAUUUCAACUGAUUACUCCGUUAAUUAAUCUGUCAUGUUCUGUUACAAACUCCACAACCUGAUGCUUCUCAUGUUCCCCGUUCCAAU